rnacentral:rRNA from 1 species
CAGUCGCCGCGGUAAUACGUAGGUCCCGAGCGUUGUCCGGAUUUAUUGGGCGUAAAGCGAGCGCAGGCGGUUAGAUAAGUCUGAAGUUAAAGGCUGUGGCUUAACCAUAGUACGCUUUGGAAACUGUUUAACUUGAGUGCAAGAGGGGAGAGUGGAAUUCCAUGUGUAGCGGUGAAAUGCGUAGAUAUAUGGAGGAACACCGGUGGCGAAAGCGGCUCUCUGGCUUGUAACUGACGCUGAGGUGCGAAAGCGUGGGGAGCAAACAGGAUUAGAUACCCCCGUAGUCCCUGUCUCUUAUACA